rnacentral:ncRNA from 3 species
UGAGGUAGUAGGUUGUGUGGUUC